CAUAAGAUGACUGAAGCAAGUAUUGGUCUCUUAAACCACUUUAUAGUAUGUUAGCAUAUACUUCUUAUGA
rnacentral:tRNA from 1 species